GUCAGGAUGGUCGAGUGGUCUAAGGUGCCAGACUCAAGGGUCCAAUCCUUCUCCAAUCAAGAGAAACUUGUUUCCAAAUUUAGGCAUGGGUUCAAAUUCCUUUCCUAACA